CUCUCUCACUCUCUCUCUCUCUUUCUCAUAUAGGUGUAAUUAAUUUUGAUGGUAUGGCAUCUAAAAGUGCACCUUCAGAUUCAAAGUCAUAUGUGCAACACACUGCAGCACAAGGCAGGACAUGUCUAUGCUCCCCCACCACACAUCCUGGAUCAUUCAGAUGUAGCCUGCACAGGAAUUUCCAUAGGGUUCCCAGUAGAUCAACGGUCAGCGGGGUUUCAUCCAAAAAGUGGGAAUUGGCUGUGAUUGCUAAAGCAAAUUCAAUGAAGGCCUUUCUGCUUCAGAUUAUCAAGCCUUCUAGUCAUGAUCUUCAAAGAAGGAGGAAUUUUCGCCCCAGGCCUACCAGGUUUUGCGUAAUGAAUGCCAAUACAGAUGGGGUUGCAGUUUCUUGAUCUGCGCUUUCUUUUCUUUUCUUUUCUUUUUAUAUUUCGGUUUCAAGAAUUUUGCCCCUUUUUUUUUCCUAAUCUUGAAUAUUAGAAAGAGGAGUAUGUAGAUAUGAGGGAUAUGUACAUAUAAAAAUUAGGAAUUUAGUAUUGUAAUUGAUGGUCUCAAAUGUCAAUUGCCAGU
rnacentral:misc_RNA from 1 species